rnacentral:misc_RNA from 1 species
GAUGAAGAACGUAGCGAAAUGCGAUAAGUAAUGUGAAUUGCAGAAUUCAGUGAAUCAUCGAAUCUUUGAACGCACCUUGCACUCCUUGGUAUUCCGAGCAGUACGCCUGUUCGAGUGUUAUGAAGCUCUCAAAACGCAAUUGGCUUAAAACCUGAUUGUUGUUUUGGAUUUGAACUUUGCCGUGUUAUAACGGCUGGUUUUAAAAGUAUUAGCUGGUACUAGAACGAAUUGGUUCUACUCAACGUGAUAAUUAUCUGAUCGUUGAGGACAUUCCUUUCACGAGGAAUGGCCAUAGUAAAUUCAAUGGACUGCUUCUAAUCUGGCUUUAAUUCUUUAUUGGAUUAACCACUUUUCAAAUCUGACCUCGAAUCAGGUGGGACUACCCGCUGAACUUAAGCAUAUCAAUAAGCGGAGGA